CACGUAGUUAGCCGUGACUUUCUGGCGGGGCACCAUCAGUCAGCACCCAUUUCCUGAUGCUGCCUUUUCCCCCGCAACAGAGCUUUACGACCCGAAGGCCUUCUUCACUCACGCGGCAUCGCUCGUUCAGGCUUGCGCCCAUUGACGAAAAUUCCCUACUGCUGCCUCCCGCAGGAGUCUGGGCCGUGUCUCAGUCCCAAUGUGGCCGUCCGCCCUCUCAGGCCGGCUAUGCAUCAUCGUCUUGGUGGGCCUUUACCCGCCAACCAACUAAUUCACCGCAGGUCCAUCCGCGCCCCAUCCCCUAAAGGAUGUUUCACAGAAAGAAGAUGCCUCCUUCCUGUACAUCGGGAUUUGUUCUCCGUUUCCAGAGCGUAUUCCCGGUGCGACGGGCACGGUUCCCUACGUGUUACCUCGACCCGUUCGCCACUAGAGACCCGAAGGUCUCGUCGUUCGACUUGCAUGUAUUAGGCAUGCCGCCAGCGUUCAUCC
rnacentral:rRNA from 1 species